GUGUGACUGCGUACCUUUUGUAUAAUGGGUCAGCGACUUAUAUUCUGUAGCAAGGUUAACCGAAUAGGGGAGCCGAAGGGAAACCGAGUCUUAACUGGGCGUUAAGUUGCAGGGUAUAGACCCGAAACCCGGUGAUCUAGCCAUGGGCAGGUUGAAGGUUGGGUAACACUAACUGGAGGACCGAACCGACUAAUGUUGAAAAAUUAGCGGAUGACUUGUGGCUGGGGGUGAAAGGCCAAUCAAACCGGGAGAUAGCUGGUUCUCCCCGAAAGCUAUUUAGGUAGCGCCUCGUGAAUUCAUCUCCGGGGGUAGAGCACUGUUUCGGCAAGGGGGUCAUCCCGACUUACCAACCCGAUGCAAACUGCGAAUACCGGAGAAUGUUAUCACGGGAGACACACGGCGGGUGCUAACGUCCGUCGUGAAGAGGGAAACAACCCAGACCGCCAGCUAAGGUCCCAAAGUCAUGGUUAAGUGGGAAACGAUGUGGGAAGGCCCAGACAGCCAGGAUGUUGGCUUAGAAGCAGCCAUCAUUUAAAGAAAGCGUAAUAGCUCACUGGUCGAGUCGGCCUGCGCGGAAGAUGUAACGGGGCUAAACCAUGCACCGAAGCUGCGGCAGCGACGCUUAUGCGUUGUUGGGUAGGGGAGCGUUCUGUAAGCCUGUGAAGGUGUGCUGUGAGGCAUGCUGGAGGUAUCAGAAGUGCGAAUGCUGACAUAAGUAACGAUAAAGCGGGUGAAAAGCCCGCUCGCCGGAAGACCAAGGGUUCCUGUCCAACGUUAAUCGGGGCAGGGUGAGUCGACCCCUAAGG
rnacentral:rRNA from 1 species